AACCUGAAAAUGAUAAACUCAAUUUAUUAGAUUCCAUGUACAAUCAGUUUUUAGUGAAGCAUGAAUAUGAACAAAGCAUGAAGCCCAUGAACUAUUUUUGUGUGUAAUUUAUUAUUUUACUUUAUUUGAGACUUAAGUUUUGUGAUUAUUUUUGUUCUUUUUUUUAUAGGUGAGACUCACUUCUUCAAAGGAUCUUGCUUGUGUUUCACAAAGGUACAUUUGAAGAUAAAAACAUGUAACCUUUCUUCAAGAUUAUCCUACUCUACACAAAUUAUGAAAAUCCAUGAGGUUUGGGACCAGAGAAGAGAAAAUCCACUUUGAGCCAACAUGAUAUAUGAAGGAAUGUGGUCAACAAUAAUCUUGGCUGCUUCAAUGACUCCCGAAACGGUGGUUGCAUAUAUUGGUCAACUUUCAGAUUCGGUACUAAACUCGACUAAAUAGCUCGGAUGUGGUUGAAGAUGGAGCUUUUGGAGGAGAUAGUUCGGUAACAAAAAAGAACAGACCCUUUUGGUGAUUUUUUCCGAUAGAUAUAUAGAAACAGUUGAGGAGAUGAAGAAAAUGAGAUUUUUUGGUAAAAGGAGGACUAGAUCGCCGGUGGGUGUCGACGGGAAGGUUGCGGCGGCGGUAUAUGAGCAGGGAGAGAUGGAAGACCUUAGUAUUAGGGUUACAGAAUGAAAAUAGAUAGAAUUGUUAUGGGAAUCCUGACCAAUAUUGUGGGUUAAUGAAAUAUUGUGGGGCAAGCCCAAUAUUUGGUUAGUACAAGGUAGUGUAUACCUAAAUCUGUGGUGUGAAUAGUAUUAUGUCUAAAAAUACAUUUAUGUUAAAUUUAAUAAAACAUUUUUUUCUGAAUAAUUAAAAAAAAA